rnacentral:rRNA from 1 species
UACGGGGGGGUGCGAGCGUUGUCCGGAUUUAUUGGGCGUAAAGAGCGUGUAGGCGGCCAUGCAGGUCCGUUGUGAAAACUCGAGCUCAACCUCGAGACGCCGAUGGAAACCGCAUGGCUAGAGUCCGGAAGAGGAGAGUGGAAUUCCUGGUGUAGCGGUGAAAUGCGCAGAUAUCAGGAAGAACACCCGUGGCUAAGGCGGCUCUCUAGUACGGUACUGAUGCUGAGACGCGAAAGCGUGGGGAGCAAACAGG